GAUGAACGCUGGCGGCGUGCCCAAUACAUGCAAGUCGAGCGAACGGACGAGAAGCUUGCUUCUCUGAUGUUAGCGGCGGACGGGUGAGUAACACGUGGAUAACCUACCUAUAAGACUGGGAUAACUUCGGGAAACCGGAGCUAAUACCGGAUAAUAUUUUGAACCGCAUGGUUCAAAAGUGAAAGACGGUCUUGCUGUCACUUAUAGAUGGAUCCGCGCUUCAUUAGCUAGUUGGUAAGGUAACGGCUUACCAAGGCAACGAUGCAUAGCCGACCUGAGAGGGUGAUCGGCACACAGGGACUUGAACACCGUUCCGGAACCCACAGGGGGGCAGCAGUAGGAAAUCUUCCGGAAGGGGCGAAAGCCUGACGGAGCAACGCCGCGUGAGUGAUGAAGGUCUUCGGAUCGUAAAACUCUGUUAUUAGGGAAGAACAUAUGUGUAAGUAACAGUGCACAUCUGGACGGGACCAAAUCAGAAGGCCACGGCAAACUACGG
rnacentral:rRNA from 1 species